AAUAUUGGACAAUUGGCGCAAGCCUGAUCCAGCCACGCCGCGUGAGCGAUGAAGGCCUUAGGGUUGUAAAGCUCUUUCAGCGGGGAAGAUAAUGACGGUACCCGCAGGAGAUGCCCCGGCUAACUUAGGGCCACCAGCCGCGGUAAUACGAAGGGGGCUAGCGUUGUUCGGAAUUACGGAGCGUAAAGGGCGCGUAGGCGGACUGUUAUGUCAGGGGUGAAAUCCCGGGGCUCAACCCCGGAACUGCCUUUGAUACUGGUGGUCUAGAGUUCGGGAGAGGUGAGUGGAAUUCCGAGUGUAGAGGUGAAAUUCGUAGAUAUUCGGAGGAACACCAGUGGCGAAGGCGGCUCACUGGCCCGAUACUGACGCUGAGGCGCGAAAGCGUGGGGAGCAAACAG
rnacentral:rRNA from 1 species